AGUGAACGCUGGCGGCAGGCCUAACACAUGCAAGUCGAACGGCAGCACAGGAGAGCUUGCUCUCUGGGUGGCGAGUGGCGGACGGGUGAGGAAUACAUCGGAAUCUGCCCAGUCGUGGGGGAUAACGUAGGGAAACUUACGCUAAUACCGCAUACGACCUUCGGGUGAAAGAGGGGGAUCGCAAGACCUCUCGCGAUUGGAUGAGCCGAUGUCGGAUUAGCUAGUUGGCGGGGUAAUGGCCCACCAAGGCGACGAUCCGUAGCUGGUCUGAGAGGAUGAUCAGCCACACUGGAACUGAGACACGGUCCAGACUCCUACGGGAGGCAGCAGUGGGGAAUAUUGGACAAUGGGCGCAAGCCUGAUCCAGCCAUACCGCGUGGGUGAAGAAGGCCUUCGGGUUGUAAAGCCCUUUUGUUGGGAAAGAAAUCUUUCAGGCUAAUACCCUGGGAGGAUGACGGUACCCAAAGAAUAAGCACCGGCUAACUUCGUG
rnacentral:rRNA from 1 species